rnacentral:rRNA from 1 species
UACCAGCACCCCGAGUGGUCGGGACGUUAUUGGGCCUAAAGCAUCCGUAGCCGGUUCUACAAGUCUUCCGUUAAAUCCACCUGCUUAACAGAUGGGCUGCGGAAGAUACUAUAGAGCUAGGAGGCGGGAGAGGCAAGCGGUACUCGAUGGGUAGGGGUAAAAUCCGUUGAUCCAUUGAAGACCACCAGUGGCGAAGGCGGCUUGCCAGAACGCGCUCGGACGGUGAGGGAUGAAAGCUGGGGGAGCAAACCGG